rnacentral:rRNA from 1 species
UACGGGGGUGGCAAGCGUUGUUCGGAAUUACUGGGCGUAAAGGGCGCGUAGGUGGCCAACUAAGUCAGACGUGAAAUCCCUCAGCUUAACUGGGGAACUGCGUCUGAUACUGGAUGGCUUGAGUUUGGGAGAGGGACGCGGAAUUCCAGGUGUAGCGGUGAAAUGCGUAGAUAUCUGGAGGAACACCGGUGGCGAAGGCGGCGUCCUGGACCAACACUGACACUGAUGAGCGAAAGCCAGGGGAGCAAACGGG